rnacentral:rRNA from 1 species
UUGAACGCUGGCGGCAUGCUUUACCCCUGCAAGUCGAACGGCAGCGCGGGCUUCGGCCUGGCGGCGAGUGGCGAACGGGUGAGUAAUACAUCGGAACGUGCCCAGUAGUGGGGGAUAGCUCGGCGAAAGCCGGAUUAAUACCGCAUACGACCUGAGGGUGAAAGCGGGGGAUCUUCGGACCUCGCGCUAUUGGAGCGGCCGAUGGCAGAUUAGCUAGUUGGUGGGGUAAAGGCCUACCAAGGCGACGAUCUGUAGCUGGUCUGAGAGGACGACCAGCCACACUGGGACUGAGACACGGCCCAGACUCCUACGGGAGGCAGCAGUGGGGAAUUUUGGACAAUGGGCGAAAGCCUGAUCCAGCAAUGCCGCGUGUGUGAUGAAGGCCUUCGGGUUGUAAAGCACUUUUGGCGGGAACGAAAAGGACUGUGCCAAUACCACGGUUCGAUGACGGUACCCGCAGAAUAAGCACCGGCUAACUACGUG